AUUCUGAUCUUUAGAGAAAUUAGGAGUUGAAAUGUGCUGUAAUGUGACUUACAGAAAAGGUAAUUCUCAUUCUAGUUAAGAACGUGGAAGAGGAGAAAAUACAGCAAGGAUGAGAAGGGGCUAAGUGCAGGGCUGGAAACCAGAUGCAAUGCCUUAGUAUGUUAAUACUAUGCUCAUAUGUUAAUGAUAAUACAGUGAAAGUCCUAAAAGCUUCAGAGCUAUGCUGCUCAAUGCAGUAUCUCAAAGUGAAAUGUAAGUUUGUAGUUUGGCACCUAACAUUUCUACACAAUAGAAGAAAAAUCAGAAGUCUCCAGAAAGCAAGGAUACAAGGAAACUACUGAGCAGGAAGCUCCCUGAAGCUAGCCAACAGGCAGCAUAACAGAACACAGAACUGCAUAAGAGCUUCUCACCUCUCCAAAGGUUUCAGAGCUCACCAAGAGCUCCUUCACUUAGCUGGGAGCAAGAGCUUCUAACAGAUCUCCCAGCAAGGGAAUAAUCUAUGAGAUUUCAUCAGGAAAAGUGAUCAUCACUCUAAUUGAAAUUAACCUGGGGCAGAAACAUACAUACAUAUCAUUUUAAUAGCCUUUAACAAAGUAGAACCAAACAGGACUUUAACCCAAACCCUAAAGGACUGCUGCAACCUCUACCUACAAAAAUAAAUUCCAUUCUGCUCAUCUUUGAGUCCUGAACUUACUGUGUUUGUCCACAUGGUGGCAAUUUCAAGAAGAACAAAUGCCAUGUUAAGGAACAGCGAGAGUAAAACUUAGCAAUGCACUAGGCUGUUCCUUUAAGAAGAGAACUUGCUUCUCCCAUGUGCACAACAGUGUUCAUAGUAACCUAUGAGCUCAGGGCUACUGUGAAACAUGAAAAUUACAGUCUGCAGCUGCUCCAGCUCAAAUCUUGAACGGAGAAUGUGCAAAUGUUGUUUGUGGAAACCCAAGUACCUAUUCCUAUACAGCUAGAAAGAGCAACUCAAACUUCUCUCUUGCUCUAAGCAAGACAGCUUGGUUUGUGUCCACCAAACUGUAUUUUUGCCCUUCUCUGGAGCUAUUCAAGACCCACCUGGACACCUCACUGUGUAGCCUGCUGUAAGGGGCCCACUUUGCAGGGG
ensembl:lncRNA